CAGCACGCCUCGCCUCUCUUCGGCCCCGUCCUCCGCCUCCACCUCCACCUUUCCGCCCGAGAUCCAUGGCUACAGCGGUUGCACCGGCCCGAUGUAAGAGGCGGCCAACCCUAGCCGCUAUGGCGCCCCACUGCUGCUCACGACCUGGGCCAUGGAUCUGCGACACAGGCCUCCCUCCUUCUCCCAGGCGGCGCAGCUGCCUUGCCAUCUGAAGAUUUGGAGCAGCAAGCGCCGGAUGAGGAGAGGACGACGACCGUGACAUGCCGGAGGCCCGAGCUCGACCUCUCCGGCGACGUCAACGCCCCGCACAAGAUCGGCAGGACAUCUCCGCCUCUUCAGUUCAAUGGAAGGCGACCACCGGGACCCCACGCUCUAGCCUGACGAGCUAGCCGAGCUCGAUGGCCAGGUCCUCCGCCCCAACCACCACGAUUCCGCAGAGAACAAUAAGCCUGAACAGACUCUAACAUCGGUUUUCGUGGAGACAAAACGAGAAGCUGAUUCAUUGGGAUAUUGGCUAUACAACAGAGGUUUCCUUGCAACGGCGAUCCAUGGUGACAAAACACAGGAGGUAAGAUUGGGAAGUGAGCUACUUAUUGGUGCUGCUCAUCACAAUCAAACAUGAUGGUUGCCAUCAGGAGGGCCGACAGCAAGAACCUAAAUAACAGCCUCAAUAGUUUGUAUGAUCUGUUGAUGUAAAAUGAAUUGUACUCAUGAUGUGUGAUAUAUUUUGUCAAUAUUCAAUGCAA